GUGUUCAAAACAUUUGUAGGUGGUAUCAUGUUUUCCCAGGAGCUUUCACCUUUUUACCAGUUAAAGAGGGGUCUGAUCACUUAGUUUGCAGUCUUGGUAAUGUGUUUACUUUAUUCCUCCCACAAGGUGCAUUACUGCAGUGUUUCCAGAUGACUACCCAGCACACUCUCUUGGGUCUAUUGCACUGAUAGGACCUGAACUCUAAUUUUUGUCUGCUCACCAGAAAGAAAGCAAAAAUCUCACUCUAAUUUUCAGAACACUUUUUGUUUAGCUUUAUUAUUAUUAUUAUUAUACUUUAAGUUAUGGGGUACAUGUGCAGAACGUGCAGGUUUGUUCCAUUGAGGAAAAUACAUAUACUAAAUGGCAGAAACAAUUUAAAUAGCAAAUUGAGCUUUCCUGAUCUGAAAGUUACAUAAACACAGGUGGUAUAUUAGUUUGCUAGGGCUCCAGUAAUAAAAUACCACAGAUUGGGUAGCUUAAAAGACAGAAAUCCAUUGUCUCAUAGUUGUGGAGGUGUCAGCAGGAUUGUUUUCUUUUAAGGGUGUAAGGGAAGGAACUUUUC
rnacentral:lncRNA from 1 species